AUGAGCUCUGGAGCAGAAGAGGGAGGGACCCAAGAAUUUUCCUCAAAUUAAAGGCCCUACAGAAAGGUGUUAAGUCAUGAACAUAAUAAGAAAAUGAAUUUGAAUUAUUACAGGACUAGAUAUGAUGUCACACUGGAAGUGACAUCACCAGAUCCGGGCCCCAGGGAGUGAUAUCACUGGAAAUGAAAUCACCAGAAACAGAAGUGACUACACCGGAUAUGAGAUCAGUCUGGAAGUGACAUUAUUAUGAGCCUGCAUAUAUAAAUAGUGCUCUGAAAAUAAACUGGGUCACUUGUCUGCCAUCAGCAGGCAGUGAAC